rnacentral:rRNA from 1 species
UGAGGAAUUUUGCACAAUGGGGGCAACCCUGAUGCAGCGACGCCGCGUGCGGGAUGAAGGAGCUUUGCUCUGUAAACCGCUGUCGGAUGGGAUGAAAAGUCGAUUAGAUCGACCGGGACCGUACCAUCGGAGGAAGGACCGGCUAACUACGUGCCAGCAGCCGCGGUAAUACGUAGGGUCCAAGCGUUGUCCGGAUUUACUGGGUGUAAAGGGUGCGCAGGCGGGCUUGCGCGUCGAAGGUUAAAUACCUCGGCUUAACCGAGGAGCUGCCUUCGAUACGGCAAGUCUUGAAUGUGAGAGAGGAUGAUAGAAUUCCUGGUGUAGCGGUGAAAUGCGUAGAUAUCAGGAGGAAUACCGGUGGCGAAGGCGGUCAUCCGGCUCAUUAUUGACGCUCAGGCAC